CACACUCCAGACACAGAGGAACGCUGUAUGCUCCCCCUCAGGACCUGGACUCAUCUCCACCUCUUUUGGUGUCAACUCUUCCACAACGAGCCGCAAAAAACCCCAUUUCUAAUAAAAAAUGAUUCAGAGCAAAACUAACAUGAUGUCAGGAUCUGGAGUUUUGUGUGUGUGUGUGCUUUUUUGUUUGUUUACUUUCUUCACUUCUCAGAUGGUGCUGGAGUUCUCAGGAGUGCUGGGUGACAAGUGCGACAAAUCUGCUGAUUGCUUGGAGGUGUACUUAAGCAGGAGGCUGCCAGCACUUCAGCGCCAGAGUGUUUGCCUUCAGUGGCUGUUUACCUGAACCUUUGGAUAACCCUUGCUGAUGCCUGACUUCGCUCUCUGCAUUGUUUUGCUUAUUUGGAUGACCGACUUCUAGAGAAAGGAUUCCUGUUGUCGUGGGUUAAGAUCCCAAAUUCCUGUUUCCUUCAUCCAGACAAAGACCAGCUGGCAGCUUCCUGUUUCACCGUCAUCUGAACCAAGGCAUAAGCGUAACCUGUUCACCCUCCAACGCAAGUACUACCUUCCUGAACUCCUCACCGUCCUUCACAAGUCUCUCAAGCAGUUCCAGAGAAACUUCUGUGUUGAACACUCAGACUCUGAAUCCCUCAUCUCCCCCCUGGCGGUUAAAUUACUCCAACAUAUUGGCGAUCUACCUGUUCCAGAACAGUUCUCAUUUAUCCUUGUUAAAGAAAAUAAACCUCCUUCAUAACCUACAGUCAGUCAUACUAGCUUAAAGGUCGAAAGCAGUGUAAGUGAAAGAUUUAAACUAGAUUAGGUAACA